AGUGAACGCUGGCGGUAGGCCUAACACAUGCAAGUCGAACGGCAGCACAGGAGAGCUUGCUCUCUGGGUGGCGAGUGGCGGACGGGUGAGGAAUACAUCGGAAUCUACUCUGUCGUGGGGGAUAACGUAGGGAAACUUACGCUAAUACCGCAUACGACCUACGGGUGAAAGCAGGGGACCUUCGGGCCUUGCGCGAUUGAAUGAGCCGAUGUCGGAUUAGCUAGUUGGCGGGGUAAAGGCCCAACAAGGCGACGAUCCGUAGCUGGUCUGAGAGGAUGAUCAGCCACACUGGAACUGAGACACGGUCCAGACUCCUACGGGAGGCAGCAGUGGGGAAUAUUGGACAAUGGGCGCAAGCCUGAUCCAGCCAUACCGCGUGGGUGAAGAUGGCCUUCGGGUUGUAAAGCCCUUUUGUUGGGAAAGAAAUCCAGCUGGCUAAUACCCGGUUGGGAUGACGGUACCCAGAGAAUAAGCACCGGCUAACUUCGUGCCAGCCGCCGCAGUAA
rnacentral:rRNA from 1 species